UCCACCUCAGCCUCCACUUAACCAAACAUGGUGGCACACCUCCGCCAAACCCAAGGCGUCGCUGGCGACACCGCACGUCGUCAAGGUCAUCGCCAGGGUCCUCCCUUUCGCGGCGACUCAACCUCUCAACCUACAGUGGCCUUUUCCUACAGUGACAUCAUAUGUGGAAGCAACCUAGCACUAAUUGAGGAACUCAAGCAAGAAAUGAAAAAG
rnacentral:sRNA from 1 species